rnacentral:lncRNA from 1 species
CACACACAAAAAAAAGAAAAAAUAAAUAGAAUUUACCUAAAAUAUUGAUCAUUUUGAGUUGGCUGUCCAAUCUAUCAAAACUAUUUAAUCUUUCAAUUUAUUUGAUUUGAAUCAAUUAAUGGUACUUUACUUUUAAAAUUUGAUUGCGUUAUUAAUCUUUACAUGUUUAGUCAGUAUAUUUUAUAAGUUUAAAUUUUAAAGUUUAAGUUUCGUUAUCUGACUCAAAUCAAAUAAAUUAAAAGAUUGAAUAUUAAAUUUAAAAUUUUAAAAAAUUAAGUAGCUAAUUUAUAAUGGUCUAAUGUUUAGAUAAGUUAGGUAUGUAUGGUUUUACUCAAAAAAUUAAAAAAAUUAA